GAUGAACGCUGGCGGCGUGCCUAAUACAUGCAAGUCGAGCGAACAGACGAGAAGCUUGCUCCUCUGACGUUAGCGGCGGACGGGUGAGUAACACGUGGAUAACCUACCUAUAAGACUGGGAUAAAUUCGGGAAACCGGAGCUAAUACCGGAUAAUAUAUUGAACCGCAUGGUUCAAUAGUGAAAGACGGUUUUGCUGUCACUGAUAGAUGGAUCCGCGCCGCAUUAGCUAGUUGGUAAGGUAACGGCUUACCAAGGCAACGAUGCGUAGCCGACCUGAGAGGGUGAUCGGCCACACUGGAACUGAGACACGGUCCAGACUCCUACGGGAGGCAGCAGUAGGGAAUCUUCCGCAAUGGGCGAAAGCCUGACGGAGCAACGCCGCGUGAGUGAUGAAGGUCUUCGGAUCGUAAAACUCUGUGAUUAGGGAAGAACAAAUGUGUAAGUAACUAUGCACGUCUUGACGGUACCUAAUCAGAAAGCCACGGCUAACUACGUG
rnacentral:rRNA from 1 species